rnacentral:lncRNA from 13 species
GAGAUAAAGACUCCCAUGAAAAAGAUUCCCUCCCAGUACUAGGAGAAAAGAAACAUUCUUUGAUGGGGAGUCAUAGCCAAGAGAAUUUUGUACAAACAGACCUUGGUCACGGGAGGUACUGCCUCAAUGAGAGCUGCAAGAGAGCCGCUCCUGCAUCACUAGGGUCACAGGGUCACAUCCUGGGCAGGCCCUCAUCUCCCCGUUAUCCCCUGGGCGAUGGUCCUCAUCACAUGGGUCUCAGCACUGUUCGUGGGAAUCCGAGAAAAAUUCUAAUGUGUGAUAGCUAGGUGAGUUGUCAUUUUGUUUACCAGUCAUUGCUGAAUGAUUGACUUCUCUGCCUUGGCUAAAUGCUGAAUUUCUCCCCUAACAAAGCUCAACACAGACAUACUCCCCGCCCACCCCAUCAUCCCUGUGCUUGGGCCUCAAUUAAGUAGUUUGUGUAAAAAUUUAAAAAUUGUAUCACAGUGGGCUGGGUGUGGUGGCUCACGCCUGUAAUCCCAGCACUUUGGGAGGCCGAGGUGGGCAGAUCAUGAGGUCAAGAGAUCGAGACCAUCCUGGCUAACAUGGUGAAACCUGGUCUCUACUAAAAGUACAAAAAAUUAGCCAGGCAUGGUGGUCCGUGCCUGUGGUUCCAGCUACUCCAGAGGCUGAGGCAGAAGAAUUGCUUGAAACUGGAAAAUGGAAGUUGUAGUGAGCCAGGAUUGCGCCACUGCACUCCAUCCUGGUGAUAGAGCGAGACUCUGUCUCAAAAAAAGGAAAAAGAAAAAAAAGGGUAGCACAGUGUUCCAUGGCCAAGCUUAUUGACAAUGAAACACUGUUAUUAUGAUGCAUCUACUGACAUCACAUUGAACACCAGUGUUCAGUGAAUACCAUUUGAAAGCGUUAGCCUAGUUUAUUUUUCAUGUUAUACCUGAACUAUGACCAGGGAAAGGACCAUGUGCUGUUUCUGUGUACCCCAACCUCGCUGAAUAUAAUACAAAACAGCUGGCUAAAUGGAGAAGAUUCUAACAUCUUAGAAGAGGACAGAGCUGUAAGAAGGAAUAAGCCUGGAUCCCUAAAUGACUGCAUGGAACAGAACUUUGCAGCAGCCCUGUAUGGGAAUGUAACUGGAACGAGAAAUAAACUUUGCUGUGUUAAACCACUGGAAUUUGGGACUUGUUAAGCUGUUAGCCUAAUACAACCAUCAAAAGUAUUACAGAGACAGAAUGUGUACUGAUGUACCUAUAAGCUAAGAAAAAGUCAGAUAGGCAGGGAGCAUGGAAAUUACAUGUUUCAUGAUUCCCAGGUGUAAG